rnacentral:rRNA from 1 species
CACGUAGGGGGCAAGCGUUGUCCGGAUUUAUUGGGCGUAAAGAGCUCGUAGGCGGCUCAGUAAGUCAGGUGUGAAACCUCCAGGCUCAACCUGGAGACGCCACCUGAUACUGCUGUGGCUAGAGUCCGGUAGGGGAGCGUGGAAUUCCUGGUGUAGCGGUGAAAUGCGCAGAUAUCAGGAGGAACACCAGCGGCGAAGGCGGCGCUGUGGGCCGGAACUGACGCUGAGGAGCGAAAGCGUGGGGAGCGAACAGG